rnacentral:tRNA from 1 species
ACCUGAAUGGCUCAGUCAGAGAGCGUGAGACUCCUGAUCUUCGAGUUGUGAGUUCAAGCCUCACAUUGGGUG